UACAGAGGGGACAAGCGUUGUUCGGAAUUACUGGGCGUAAAGGGCUCGUAGGCGGCCAACUAAGUCAGACGUGAAAUCCCUCGGCUUAACCGGGGAACUGCGUCUGAUACUGGAUGGCUUGAGUCCGGGAGAGGGAUGCGGAAUUCCAGGUGUAGCGGUGAAAUGCGUAGAUAUCUGGAGGAACACCGGUGGCGAAGGCGGCAUCCUGGACCGGCACUGACGCUGAUGAGCGAAAGCCAGGGGAGCAAACGGG
rnacentral:rRNA from 1 species